rnacentral:rRNA from 1 species
CCCUGAUGCAGCCAUGCCGCGUGUGUGAAGAAGGCCUUCGGGUUGUAAAGCACUUUCAGCGAGGAGGAAAGGUUGGCGCCUAAUACGUGUCAACUGUGACGUUACUCGCAGAAGAAGCACCGGCUAACUCCGUGCCAGCAGCCGCGGUAAUACGGAGGGCGCAAGCGUUAAUCGGAAUUACUGGGCGUAAAGCGCACGCAGGCGGUUGGAUAAGUUAGAUGUGAAAGCCCCGGGCUCAACCUGGGAAUUGCAUUUAAAACUGUCCAGCUAGAGUCUUGUAGAGGGGGGUAGAAUUCCAGGUGUAGCGGUGAAAUGCGUA